UUGGGCCUUUUCUUGCGUCCUGUUUGUUAAAGGCAUGCCAGCUACAUCAUUCAAGAGGGCCGUUCCUUAACAAAGGGAAAGAGAUAAAUGUAAAUAAGCUCACAUUUUCAGAAUGAGCAGUUUGCUGUAAGAAGCUUCGGCAGCCCAGAGUCUGCUACUUUGGGCUGGGCUAACCUUUCCCUGUAAAAAAGAAUAAUAGAUUAAAAUAUGCACUUCUAAAGUGCGAGUUGCCCGUUUACAUGUUUAUUAGCUAAUUGUCUACAGGCAUGAGCACACUCUCUCAUCUAGCACACUCUUUCUUGGGGAAUACUGCUCUCUGGAGGAGUGUGAAAAUCAAUUCUCCUUAAUGUUAAGCAUCCAUUGGAGGAAAUCUCUAACCACAGUACCUCCAGAAAGUUCAUUGAUCACCCA